rnacentral:rRNA from 1 species
UUUAUGGCUGUCGUCAGCUCGUGUCGUGAGAUGUUGGGUUAAGUCCCGCAACGAGCGCAACCCUUGCCAUUAGUGCUACGAAAGGGCACUCUAAUGGGACUGCCCGGUGACAAACCGGAGGAAGGUGGGGAUGACGUCAAGUCCUCAUGGCCCUUAUAGGUGGGGCUACACACGUCAUACAAUGGCUGGUACAGAGGGUUGCCAACCCGCGAGGGGGAGCUAAUCCCAUAAAGCCAGUCGUAGUCCCGGAUGUGCAGUUUUCA